GGUCAGAAUAGCUUAAUUGGUAGAGCAACCCAGGCCGGAAUCAUAUCUUAUUUAGAUGGCUAAUUGGUGGUUUCGGGUUCGAAUCCCGAUCUGACCU
rnacentral:tRNA from 1 species